AGAUGAACACAGGCUUCACAGUGGCAAGCUCUGUCUGAUUAUCCUCACCUGUAUCGCAGAGGAUCAAUAUGCCAAUGCAUUUUUACAUGAUGACAACAUGAAUUUUCGAGUAAACUUACAUAGAAUGCCUAUGAGACACAGAAAGAAGGCUGCUGACAAGAAUCUUCCCUGCCGUCCCCUGGUGUGUGCAGUCCUGG